AGAAAUCAUCCUUUCCUCCACUUUCUUCUUUGCGAGUUUUGCGUGUUCUUUUGUGGUGUCUUGCUCUCCCAAAUUUUCUAACACUGCAAACACCAACUUGAUUACUAACAUUUUCAAUAGACCAUUCUGUAAGAAAGUAGUAAAUGAUCAUAUGAUAUCACCAUGUCCUUACUACAAGAUAUUUUUGAGUCUUUGGAUCUUAAGAAGUAGCAAAACUUUUCUCUCUCCAAAGUAAAUGUAUAUUCAAUGUGGAGACAGACAAUACCCCAAGAGGUACGCAUGGCAUUCAAAUUUGAGGCUUCUAUAAUUUUGUUACAAAAAAAGUCUUUCUUCUGAAACCCAAUAAGCCCUUUUUUGUAGCAAAUGAGAAUACAGUACCAAUGUAACACAUGAAACAAAUCGAACUUAUUGCAAAUAAUACAUAGUCAUCACAAGAUGUAAAGUAUAAAAGAGAGAACAAUACCAUUUUCUCUUUUUGGGAACUCUGAUUUAAAGCUAUUAAAAUCUUUCUGGUGGUGAUGUUUCUUCUAAUAUAGACAGGUAUUGAUACGAGAAUUUGUCCACAUCGUUGGCAGGGAUCUUAGCAAAACACCAAGACAGGUCACAAUAGAAGAACUUAAUUAAGCACCAUAUUAUGCUUUGCGACAAGCCAAGACUCAAAGGCUGAGAAUAGGAGAGGUGGCAAUUCCUUCAAAUAUACAGCCCAACAUCAGAAUUUUGUACUAAGAAAGUUGAGUGAUACAGCUCAAAAUCUAAGUGUUGCAGUACGUGACACAAGACAGCCUUCGACCCCUAUUUGAUUAUGAAUGUAAACAAAAAUGAAAAGAAGAGCAUUCAUCAACAAACAAUCAUUAUACAAUUUUUUCAGAAAAAGAUAGUAAACUAAUUAAUACAGUUGGGAUGUUUGAAGUA
rnacentral:lncRNA from 1 species